rnacentral:rRNA from 1 species
AGUGAACGCUGGCGGUAGGCCUAACACAUGCAAGUCGAACGGCAGCACAGUAAGAGCUUGCUCUUACGGGUGGCGAGUGGCGGACGGGUGAGGAAUAUAACGGAAUCUACUUUUUCGUGGGGCUAACGGAGGGAAACUUACGCUAAUACCGCAUACGACCUCCGGGUGAAAGCAGGGGAUCUUCGGACCUUGCGCGAUUGAAUGAGCCGAUGUCGGAUUAGCUAGGUGGCGGGGUAAAGGCCCACCAAGGCGACGAUCCGUAGCUGGUCUGAGAGGAUGAUCGCCGACACGGGAGCGGGAACAGGGACCAGACUCCUACGGGAGGGAGCAGUGGGGAAUAUUGGACAAUGGGCGCAAGCCUGAUCCAGCCAUACCGCGUGGGUGAAGAAGGCCUUCGGGUUGUAAAGCCCUUUUGUUGGGAAAGAAAAGCAGCAGGUUAAUACCCCGCUGUUCUGACGGUACCCAAAGAAUAAGCACCGGCUAACUUCGUG